AAGUCGUAACAAGGUUUCCGUAGGUGAACCUGCGGAAGGAUCAUUAACGAGUUUUUGAAACGGGUUGUUGCUGGCUUCCAAAAAGGAGCAUGUGCACGCCUGACUCAAUCCACUCUCAAACCCCUGUGCACUUAUUGUAGGCUUGGUGAUUGAAGAGCUUGCAAGAGUUCUGAUAGAGCCCUGUCUAUGCUUUUACAAACGCUUCAGUUUAAGAAUGUUACUCGCGUAUAACGCAAUAAAUACAACUUUCAGCAACGGAUCUCUUGGCUCUCGCAUCGAUGAAGAACGCAGCGAAAUGCGAUAAGUAAUGUGAAUUGCAGAAUUCAGUGAAUCAUCGAAUCUUUGAACGCACCUUGCGCUCCUUGGUAUUCCGAGGAGCACGCCUGUUUGAGUGUCAUGGUAUUCUCAACUCUGCAAAGCUUUUGCAAUGAAGAGUUGGAUUUGGAGGCUUGUGUUGGCUCGAAAGAGUUGACUCCUCUGAAAUGCAUUAGUGUGAGCCUUUACGGAUCGCCUUCAGUGUGAUAAUGUCUACGCUGUAGUGUUGAAGUAUUUCUAGUGUUCAUGCUUCUAAUCGUCCUCUUGGGACAAUCAUUUGACAAUCUGACCUCAAAUCAGGUAGGACUACCCGCUGAACUUAAGCAUAUCAAUAAGCGGAGGAAAAGAAACUAACAAGGAUUCCCCUAGUAACUGCGAGUGAAGCGGGAAAAGCUCAAAUUUAAAAUCUGGCAGUCUAUGGCUGUCCGAGUUGUAAUCUGGAGAA
rnacentral:misc_RNA from 1 species